rnacentral:misc_RNA from 1 species
AAAAAAAAAAAAAAGGAAUGGUUUCUUAUUUUCUUUUCCAGAAGGUGGGUUGUUGAGCAUUUAUAUAAAAAAUACAAUAUAAUUCAUUAGGGGAAAAGAAAAGUAUGGAGGGGUCAGGACUCAAGCAUCAGGAAAAGAGGAGAAUAUUGUAAAGCAAAUAAAAAAGAGAUGUGUUAAGGUCACAUUUGACAUUUUCUUUGGUCCCAGAAAAAUUGUGUUAGAAUUAUACCCUACACAGGACCCAUUACUGAUCAACACAUCUAGAGUUUAUAGGAAAGUAAUCAGAUCAGGUGGUCCAAAAUCCAAAUUGAUCUGCAACUAAAAUUUUCUGUGCAGGACCAAACAAUCCUGGCAGUGAAUGCUCCACUCAGUUGUUAUUUUCCUUCUAGUUCUGGUUCACCCUACCUCUACUUCAACUCUUCUCUCAUGCUAGUGUUGUACACCCCAAAGGUCAAUGAAUUUCAUUUCCAUGCUUUUCUUUUUUCAUUCUAAAAUAUAAAUAUUUCAACCUUUUCUUUCACGGCAAGGUGAGUUGUUCUUUACUUGAUUGACUACUUAAGCCGUGA